CCCCCCAAAACCCAUCUAUUGUGUGUGUUUGUGAUGUGUAACAUAUAUCCUUUAUCAGUCAUUCAAGUUAUUUACGUUUAUUUACCACUAGCGAUUACACCGACACAAGUGUAAUUCAAUUGCUAGCUAGCUAGCUAGGUAAAUUAGCUUGCGUAAGAUACUGUAAUUUUUAGCUUACCUAUAACCUAAUUAUCACACAAAAAACAUUGAUUACGUGUGUUUGUGAUGUGUAACAUAUAUCCUUAAUCAGUCAUUCAAGUUAUUAACGUUUAUUUACCGCUAGCGAUUACACCGACACAAGUGUAAUUCAAUCGCUAUUAAUGUUGAACUUGAACUUCAACAACGUGACACAACAUUAAAAGUCAGGCAUCGACAUGGUUCCUAAAGAAUAAAUCAAAGGUCCUUGUCCAUUUCUGUUCAGGACAUGUGACAAGUUUUAUCCAACCAGAGACCAGAGUAAAGUGACGACAUCCGGUUUCAAUGCGGUAUCUCUGGGCCAUACGUUAUCUCUGCCGACAGGUCGUCUGGGACUGGGGCGCCAUACCCCGUUCAGAUCCCAACCUCUCCGGCUCCUUCUCCUCCCUGCUUCUUCCAAAUCCUGCCUGGCCUUCUCUUGCAUUGUCUUGUCUUGUCUUUCUCUCCUCCUGCAUACUGACGGAUUUCUGCGCUCUAAGUUAUGACUAUUCCUCAGUUGGUGUCUAUGGGUUAGAGCUGGCUGUGGAAGAUUUCCCCCAACAAAACAUCAGUCUCUCCUACAAAAAUGGCUCCCACUCUAUCAGGAGUCCAUUUAAUCAAGCUGCCAUCUUCACACUUCAACUUAGCCAACUUCCUCUGCACUUUGCUGUCAAAGUUGACCCCGCUGUGGAAUCUUGUGAUGAAGGAGUAUACUUGCCAAAGUUCCUUCACCCUACCCCAGAGAAUGGAGAACAAAUUCAAGCUAAGAUCAACCAG
rnacentral:lncRNA from 1 species